rnacentral:misc_RNA from 1 species
AAGUCAGCUCCAUUUAUAACAGAAGUAAUAAAAUCAUUGCCCGAUUCAGCCAAUUCCCAUGUCAUGCAAGCAGCUGGAGCAAAUGUAACACAGCUAGCCAUUGAUAAUUCAUUUUGCUCCCGCAAUACAUAUGUUAAAAGAGCAGCAGUGCCUCCACCCAAAGAGUGUCCUACAAUCUUGAGUUUGUAAUCAGGAUAUUGCCCAAGAGCCUUUUU